ensembl:lncRNA
CCCGGAGACAACUGAAUUAACUUUAUUCUCUUCUAACUGCAGAUUCAAGGUAUACAACUGAACAUUGCUAUUUUUCUUAUGAGACUUAUAAAUAAAAAUACAAAAAAUGUUCACUACAAAAAAAUCUACUGUUAGUAGGAUGUAAAAAAUAUUCUCUUUGCUAUAGAAGGCACAAACUUCACUUAGUGACACAUGGAGAGAGAAAAAAACCUGCAGCAGUAAAUUCAUUUUUUCUUUUUUUUCUUUUUUCUUUUAAAUCUUGUCAGAAACACUGAAGUUACAAAGAAACGCAUCAAUCUACACAAAACGAAGGCAGAUGCGGAAAGCUGCAACCAGGACUGCACAAAUUCAAGUGAACUUGCUUCAGAGAACAGAAAGAAGUGGCAAGCACAACUUGAGGGCAGGGGAAAGGGAAGGGAUGACCCAAGGAGGGGGGCAGGGGAGAAGAAGGGAGGGAAGGCAAGGCCAGCAAGAGAGAAAGGGACAGAGGAAGAGAAAGAGAGUCCAGGGAAACAGGAGAGAUAAGGAGUAGGGAGAGGGAGGGAAGGAGGGUGAAGAGAGGAGAGAGAGCAGGAGGGAGGAAAAGGAGGGAGAGACGGAGAAAGGAGAGAGGGAGGAGAGGGAUGGACAGAUUGAUUUGUACAAAAAGUAAUCAGUAAAAUUGAAGAAACAAAAUUGGGCAACCUCCUAAAAUUAGGCUAAGAGGAGGUGCUGAGGUAGACAUUAACUAGAACAUUGAUGAAUUACAAACACUAUUCUGUAAUACAGAGCAAUCGGACUGGCACUUGUGCUGUCACGACAUAAGACAAGCCACAAAAACAAACCAAACGAAACAUAAUACCCAAACCAAAAGGCUUAAGUUUUGCUUGGUCCAGCAGGGCAUCGGGGCCCCCAGUGCUAUAACUUACAUACAUAUAUAUAUAUAUUUAUCUUUAUAUAUAUGGGCGGAUGGCAUGGUGCACCACCACGGCUUCUUAACCUUACGAGGAUCAUGCAUAACACUAUGUGAACGAAUACUAUGAUACACACCGGGAGGCCGGGACCCUGUCUGCAGAGUGGGCCUCCAGGGCGUGGGGUGGCUGCGGCUGCUGGCUGGCAGGCCCAAGGGGCCUGUGUUCCUCUUUCCUGCACCCCUUUCCCUGACGGGCCCAGCCUCCUUGGUUUGUCCUGCACCCCUCUCUUGGCCAUCUCUGUUUUGCCGCUACCUGCCGGUCCCACUGUGUAGGGCCAGUCCCACAGUGAGUCCUCCCACCGAAGUCUCCAGGUAAGUGCCACCAGUCCAGGCAAGCUGGCAGAAGCUCUAGGAAAAAUGAACCAAGGGACUCUCAUCUCUUCCGCUUUUCUGUCUCAUAUUCUCCCCUACCUCCAUUUUCACCCUAGUUCAGCUUACCAGGGAACUGGCCCAAAGUCCCUCCGCUAAGGAGGUGCCCAGGGGUUCUCUCCUCCCACAGCAUGUGUACCCAUACAGAGCGUUCAGAAAGGUACCAUACACUUGUGAAAAAAUGCAGCAGUUUUUUGUCUUUUUUCUCAACAUGGAAAAACUGUUCAGGCACAAGGAUUAAACAAGCCCGUGUUGCAUCCCUGGAUUGUACUGAAUCACUGGGUCCCCCAGCCUCCUGACCCACCCCUGCACCCAGAUCUGCCUUCCUCAUAUUUGUG